UGCUCAGAAGCUCAAUGGCGAGCAGCCGGCUGUUAACCGGAAGGCAGUGGGUUCGACUCCCACCUGGGCAGCCA
rnacentral:tRNA from 1 species